UUCCUGCAAACCAAACGCCCCCUUAGAGAUACAGAAUAUAUACUUGUAGGGCCCCCAAUGUUAACCACGAUUAAGGGUUUGGGCAAAGGUGCAAACUCAUCAUGCCAGGCAAUAGCUGCACUGCGAAGUGCAGCAAAAUCAACUUGAUGCAAAGCUCCCACAGAGGCUCGUUGGGAGUUAUAUACUUGCGGAAAAGCCUGGGAACCUGCUCUUGUGCAUGAGCUGUCAGAGCAUAAUAAUCAUGUUGAGGAGCAACCACCAGGAACAGAAACAAAAAUAGGAAGAAAAAGUGAAAGAGAAGGUUGAAGUUUAAAGAAUGAUUCAAUUACCU
rnacentral:lncRNA from 1 species